UAGCUAAAAGCUUAUUGUGGAUAGCAUGGUGUGGUAAAAUCUAGAACAAUAUCAUAAGCUCCUGUAGAUAUCUUUAUGAGAAAUUGUAGCUUUGUAUCUAACAUUUGACCACCAUCCACUAUAAUGCUGCUAAAUGUUAUCGAUUCAAUAAUCAAAAUUUUAAUUUAUUUUUUGUCUAAAAGAUUUUUUCAAAAAUCUAUGCUGAGAUUAUUUUCUCUAAUCAUCUGGCAUCUCUGACCCGCAUUUCGGUCAUUUUUUACAUGAGUUUGACAGACGUCAUGAACGCUUUGCGUUAUGGUUCGAGAACAGUUUUACGACUAUUAAUAAAAUUAAAGUAAAUCGUUAAACCAUUCAUUCACGUUUCCAGAUACCAUCACUUAUUCACAAUUACGUUAAUUUUAAGUUCUUAUCGUUGUCGAAGUAAAGUUUAAAAUAAUAGCUACGUUUACAGAGACAAUCACCUUUUCUGAAGCCGUAGAUGUAUCGUAGUGACUAUUUGAAAUAUAGUUUUUUAGUAUGCGGGUAUGCACCAAAAUCAAAGUUCGUACCUCGAACUGACCACCCCAAAAAAAAUUCCCUGUUUUCUGAAAGGUUGUUUUUGUUCCCCAACGAGUCAGUCGUCUACGAUAUAUCGGUUGGUUGAUGGUUGAUCACACAGAGAUAAGCCACAAUUCGAAAGCGAGCACUGCCAUAAGCGAUUCAUAGAAACGAAAAAAUACAAACGGCAGCUCAAAGAGGAAUGUUAAGCUAACAGCUCCAGAACGGAAAUCAGCUGUAACGAAUGUCUUCGUCCGUUCCGCAGAAAAAGGGAUCCGAUGGAUCAAUUUGCCAGAGCACAUCUGAUAAUCCCACGGUACUAGUGUGAGUUUUGCCGGGAACAAAUAAUCCUCUAUAAGGAUUAUGUUUGCCAUCGGAAGCUGGCAAAACCCGUUGAAUGCACUAUAUUCAUGCAAAACAAACAAAGCACAGCACGCUACCUGCCAACUGCCUGUUUGGCCUGUUGCGAUGGCACCAAAAUUGUCGAAACCGGAAGAA